rnacentral:rRNA from 1 species
GACGAACCGUGCGAACGUUAUUCGGAAUCACUGGGCUUAAAGCGCGUGUAGGCGGAUGGGUACGUCCGUCGCUGAAAUCCCCCGGCUCAACCGGGGAACGGGCGCCGAAACGACCCGUCUGGAGGGACGUAGGGGGACCUGGAACUUCCGGUGGAGCGGUGAAAUGCGUUGAGAUCGGAAGGAACGCCCGUGGCGAAAGCGAGGUCCUGGACGUCUACUGACGCUGAGGUGCGAAAGCGUGGGGAGCAAACAGG